rnacentral:tRNA from 1 species
GAUUCCGUAGCUCAGCAGGUAGAGCAAUUGCCUUUUAAGCAAUGGGUCUCGGGUUCGAAUCCCGACGGGAUCA